rnacentral:rRNA from 1 species
CUACAUUUCACAACACACUUAAAUCUCCAGCCAAGUAGCGUGCAGGAUGACGGCCCUAUGGGUUGUAAACUGCUUUUGUAUGGGGAUAAAGUUAGGGACGUGUCCCUAUUUGCAGGUACCAUACGAAUAAGGACCGGCUAAUUCCGUGCCAGCAGCCGCGGUAAUACGGAAGGUCCAGGCGUUAUCCGGAUUUAUUGGGUUUAAAGGGAGCGUAGGCUGGAGAUUAAGUGUGUUGUGAAAUGUAG